rnacentral:rRNA from 1 species
AGAGUUUGAUCCUGGCUCAGAUUGAACGCUGGCGGCAUGCCUUACACAUGCAAGUCGAACGGCAGCACGGGGGCAACCCUGGUGGCGAGUGGCGAACGGGUGAGUAACAUAUCGGAACAUACCCUAGAGUGGGGAUAACGUAGCGAAAGUUACGCUAAUACCGCAUACGAUCUAAGGAUGAAAGUGGGGGAUCUUCGGACCUCAUGCUCAUGGAGUGGCCGAUAUCUGAUUAGCUAGUUGGUGAGGUAAAGGCUCACCAAGGCGACGAUCAGUAGCUGGUUUGAGAGAACGACCAGCCACACUGGAACUGAGACACGGUCCAGACUCCUACGGGAGGCAGCAGUGGGGAAUUUUUGGACAAUGGGGGCAACCCUGAUCCAGCAAUGCCGCGUGAGUGAAGAAGGCCUUCGGGUUGUAAAGCUCUUUUGUCAGGGAAGAAACGGUGAGUUCUAAUACAGCUUGCUAAUGACGGUACCUGAAGAAUAAGCACCGGCUAACUACGUG